rnacentral:rRNA from 1 species
AUAUUGGACAAUGGUCGCAAGACUGAUCCAGCCAUGCCGCGUGCAGGAUGACAGCCCUAUGGGUCGUAAACUGCUUUUGUGCGAGAAAAAACCCCUCUACGUGUAGAGGGCUGAUUGUAUCGUAAGAAUAAGGAUCGGCUAACUCCGUGCCAGCAGCCGCGGUAAUACGGAGGAUCCAAGCGUUAUCCGGAUUCAUUGGGUUUAAAGGGUGCGUAGGCGGAAUGAUAAGUCAGUGGUGAAAGCCUGCAGCUUAACUGCAGAACUGCCAUUGAUACUGUCAAUCUUGAGUACAUUUGAUGUGGGCGGAAUGUGUCAUGUAGCGGUGAAAUGCUUAGAUAUGACACAGAACACCGAUUGCGAAGGCAGCUCACAAAACUGUAACUGACGCUGAGGCACGAAAGCGUGGGUAUCAAACAGGA